UUUAGCAGCAAACCAGCCAAUAGAUUUAACACUCUUCAUGUGUUUGGGGCAAAAUGAGCUGCUAAAAGUAAACUUUCUGCACCAAAUGUAAUCCAAGGUCUACUUUCUCUGUUCAUGGAAAUGAGUUCAUCAAGGACGGCACAUCAGACGAGGCAGACUCCACCCAGUGGGCCGUCAGGCUGAGCAUCGUUUGGUUUAAAUGUAUCGAUGUUAGAGAGCGACAUCAACGGUCUACAUAGCUAACACGCUAGCUGCUGUUAGCUCGACUCUCACUGCGUCAGCGCUGCGCCCCUCCUUCCAGCCUCAGAGCCUGGAGGGCCGGUUCUGAACAGAUCCCUGGUUCUGUUGGGAUCUGGGUCCAGGAGACACUGGGAUAGAAUAGAAACGCAUGUUUGCAUUUCUAUUUUAGGGAGAUGUUAGCUGCAGCCAUCCUCAGAUGUCCAGCGUGUGUCUGCCAGAAAAGUCCAGAAACUCUGGCUUAGAGUGAAAACAGCAGGAGGAAGUGGGGAGUGAGAACCGAAGGAACACCAGAACCAAGCUCACUCCAAAGAAAGCAGAGAGCUCUUCCUCAGGUUGU